CACCUGUUCCCAUCCCGAACACAGUAGUUAAGUUCACCUGCGCCGAUGGUACUGGUCUGGCGACGGAUUGGGAGAGUAGGUCGCCGCCUUCU
rnacentral:rRNA from 1 species